rnacentral:miRNA from 1 species
AGGGGAGCUAGGUAGAAAGCCA